GGUCGCUUAGCUCAGUUGGGUAGAGCGUGGUGCUGAUAACACCAGGGUCGUGGGUUCGAUCCCCAUUCGGUCCC
rnacentral:tRNA from 1 species